rnacentral:rRNA from 1 species
CCUACGGGAGGCAGCAGUGAGGAAUAUUGGUCAAUGGGCUUACGCCUGAACCAGCCAAGUCGCGUGAGGGAAGACUGCCCUAUGGGUUGUAAACCUCUUUUGUCAGGGAGCAACGCCGGCUACGUGUAGCCGGACUGAGAGUACCUGAAGAAAAAGCAUCGGCUAACUCCGUGCCAGCAGCCGCGGUAAUACGGAGGAUGCGAGCGUUAUCCGGAUUGAUUGGGUUUAAAGGGUGCGUAGGCGGAAUGCCAAGUCAGCGGUAAAAUCGCGGGGCUCAACCUCGCUCCGCCGUUGAAACUGGCGUUCUUGAGUGGGCGAGAGGUAUGCGGAAUGCGUGGUGUAGCGGUGAAAUGCUUAGAUAUCACGAAGAACUCCGAUUGCGAAGGCAGCUCACUGGACUGCAACUGACACUGAGGCUCGAAAGUGUGGGUAGCAAACAGGAUUAGAUACCCGUGUAGUC